UUUAAAGCAAUUAAGGGCGUAUGGUGGAUGCCUAGGGUCUGAGAGGCGAUGAAGGACGUGGUAAGCUGCGAUAAGCUUCGGGGAGCUGCACACAAGCGUAACAUCCGAAGAUUUCCGAAUGGGACAACCUAAUAUAUUGAAGAUAUAUUACCCCCACAGCAAUGUGAGGGAGCCAACCCGCUGAACUGAAACAUCUAAGUAGGCGGAGGAAAAUAAAAUAACAAUGAUUCCCUGAGUAGUGGCGAGCGAAACGGGAAGAGCCCAAACCAUGGCGGCGUGCUGCCGUGGGGUUGUAGGACUGCAUUUAGAAACUGUUAUCAAGCUGAAUUUUCUGGAAAGUUAAAUCAAAGAGGGUGAUAAUCCCGUAAGCAGAAAUUAACAGGGACGAGCAGUAUCCUGAGUAAGGCGGGACCGGAGAAAUCCUGCCUGAAUCUGCCGGCACCAUCCGGUAAGGCUAAAUACUCCUCAGACACCGAUAGUGAACCAGUACCGUAAGGGAAAGGUGAAAAGUACCCUAAACAAGGGAGUGAAAUAGUACCUGAAACCGUACGCCUACAAGCGGUCGGAGUCUCCACAGCAAUGUGAGGGAUGACGGCGUGCCUUUUGCAUAAUGAGCCUACGAGUUACUCCUCACUGGCGAGGUUAAGUUCUUAAGUAACGGAGCCGUAGCGAAAGCGAGUCCAAAUAGGGCGUUUAGUCAGUGGGGGUAGACGCGAAACUUUGUGAUCUAUCCAUGGGCAGGUUGAAGGUGUGGUAACACACACUGGAGGACCGAACCCGUUGACGUUGAAAAGUCUUGGGAUGAC
rnacentral:ncRNA from 1 species